GACGAACGCUGGCGGCGUGCUUAACACAUGCAAGUCGAACGGAAAGGCCCCUUUGGGGGUACUCGAGUGGCGAACGGGGGCGUAACACGUGCGUAACCUGCCCUUGACUUCGGGAUAACUUCAGGAAACUGGGGCUAAUACCGGAUAGGAAUCCUUGCUGCAUGGUGGGGGUUGGAAAGCUUCGGCGGUUUUGGAUGGACUCGCGGCUUAUCAGCUUGUUGGUGGGGUAGUGGCUUACCAAGGCUUUGACGGGUAGCCGGCCUGAGAGGGCGACCGGCCACAUUGGGACUGAGAUACGGCCCAGACUCCUACGGGAGGCAGCAGUGGGGAAUAUUGCACAAUGGGCGGAAGCCUGAUGCAGCAACGCCGCGUGCGGGAUGACGGCCUUCGGGUUGUAAACCGCUUUCAGCAGGGGCGAAGCUUGUGGUGACGGUACCUGCAGAAGAAGCACCGGCUAACUACGUG
rnacentral:rRNA from 1 species